rnacentral:lncRNA from 1 species
GUUGAUAUGGUGUGAUAUAUACAUUUUACCCGAGUAGGCCGAGGUUUAGCAUUUGUUGUGAACUUUCGUGUUAUACUCCCUAUUUUGGCAUGUUUUCUGUUAGACUAGCUCUUCGGAACAAUUGACGUGUUUUCAAUUGGAUUAGGUCUUCUGAGCAGUUGGCGUGUAUCUGUUGGAUUAGCUCUUAUGAUCAUUUGCAUGUUUUUGGAUGGAUU